rnacentral:rRNA from 1 species
CAUGAAUCGGAAUUGCUAGUAAUCGCGGAUCAGCAUGCCGCGGUGAAUACGUUCCCGGGCCUUGUACACACCGCCCGUCACACCAUGGGAGCCGGUAAUACCCGAAGUCAGUAGUCCAACCACGUGAGACGCUGCCGAAGGUAGGAUUGCGACUGGGUGAAGUCGUAACAAGGUAAC